GGAGCAAGUUUCCCUUUAUAGCAUAUUUCAGAUAAUUAAUGAAGAAAGAAUGACAUUAUUAGAAUAUAUUUUGCAACUCCUAAUGGAACACAGUGACCAUGCCCUGUUCUUAACUGCUAGGCCACUAGGGAACUCCUACAGUUCAUGUUUUAAGUGUGGUAAUAUGUGAUCACAUUUUUAAAAAAAGAUUCCAUAUAUUCUAAAUAUACAUACUGACAUAAAUAUAUGAUUUGCUUUAAAUAGGCUUGGAGUGGGAUGAGGCAUAAAUGUGAAAUCUCACUGGCCACAAGUUGAUUAUGAGUAAGCUGCGUGAUGGGCACAUGAGAGUUUCUUAUGCUAUAAUCUCUACUUCUGUAGAUAUUUGCAACUUUUCGUAAAAAAGUUAAAAGAAGAAUAUCUCAGAACAUGCUAUUUCUUGUUGUGGCUUAUUAGCUGUAAUCUUAGUACUACCAAAGAAAUUUUAACAGAAUGUCAAACAAUUACUCUUUCACUUGUAAGCUUGUAAUUUACUAAAAAUAAUUCUGAUACAGCCCCACCACUAACAUAUACCAGGGCCUGAGUGAGAGUGAAGUGGUACCCAUGUUCCUUAUGUCCAGUAUAUAAAGUCAUAAGCCAGAUUACUGAACUAGCAAAGAAAAUAUGUCCUACUCCCUUACGUGGAUAAGUAUACCUUCAUUAUGUCCUGGAAGACCAAAUUCAGGUUUAAAAUUCUUAGAUUCCUUUCUGUGUUUUGUACCAGACAACCAACCCCUAACUCCUGACCUGCAGCCCCAUGGUUUGGAACCCUCCCUUUCUCUUCCCACUCUAAGCCCUGCCUUUCCUUACCAUGAGGGGCCUCAGCGCAUCCUUCAGUUUUCACUUCUAUGUCCUUUUCAGAGUUUCUGUGUGCUACCACUCCUUGGGGCCUCGAGUGUGUAGGAUGGUCCAUACAGGUCCUAGAAGCAGGCUCAGGGCCCUUUGGAAGGAAAUUCCUGGUGCAUAAGUAGCCAGAGCAUCCUGAGGCAGAGGGGAGCCACUGAUUCCAUGCAGGUGCAUCCUUAUCACCCUGUGAAGCCCUCAGCUGGUGGAAAUCAAUGGUUACAGGAGGGUCAGAGCAGAACCUGCUACAACUCAGGGCCAGAGUUUGGUAUCUCGUGCCUGGAUCCAAGGGAGAUAAGUCUCUGUUGGCUUAAGUUCUCCAAUUCUUACAAGAAACCCUUAAUUUGGCUCACAUUAUUUGACUUUGUUCAUUCCUUUUGACAUUUAUCUUUUGCAAACCGUAACAAUUUAGCUCAAAUACAACUGAAUACUGGUCUUCUCUUUAAAAAAUUAUUUUUUGCUUUCAAAGUGUAAUUGGCAACUUCAAGGGAUUUAUCUGCCCGUCUGUUUGGUGGAAUGAACACCAACUCAAAACCUAGUCAAGGGAAAAAAAAAAAAAAAA
rnacentral:lncRNA from 1 species